AUACUCUGUGCAAAACUAAAAUUGCCCGGCUCCAAGAGACGUGGCUGUAAUCUUCUUCAUUUUUUCUUGGUUCUCAUCUCCUUUCUCGAUUUCUUCUCAAGGGAUGGGGUUCAUUAACCUUCAAUUGGAACACACACUCUCUUUCUAUAUUUGAGAGAGAGAGUAAUGGGAGACUCAUCGUCGCCGAGGAGUUGCCUGUAGCCGUGCCGCCGGACAAUCUGCGUUGCAAUAAGAGUGAUGGUAAUUUAUGGCGGUGCAAAGGUUAGGGGAUCCACGAGAAGAUCAUUUGCGAAAAGCACUAUAUUCAAUCUCUUCAAAACAACUCUUUGCAGAAAUCCAAAUAAAAGUCUACUAUUUCUGUUCUAGGGUUUCCAAAAGAACAAUCACGGAGAACCACCGCAUAGCUGGCGGCGGCGGCGGCGGCGGCGGCGGUUCUUUCUGAAAUAAGCCCAAACAACUCGGACUUUUCUCGACACCAAACAGCAAGACUGAGAUUCAAGGGUUUCCACCAACACAGAGGCAGAGAUACAGCAGGCAGUUUGUUAUAACGAUGAACGUGUAAACUGCAACAGUUGCAGAACCUGUAUGGUUGAUUUCUUAGAAGCUGUCCGAAUUGUUCCUAUGAUAUUUGUCUGACUUGUUGCCGUGAAAUUCGGAACGGAUGCUUGCGGAGGUGGCGAUGAAAUUUGUUUGCAAUAUUCUGACUGGGGAAAAUCUUCCAUGCAUGGAUGUAAACCUCUCCCUUUGCCUUCGGAUCACAAAGUUUCUUUGACUUGUUUCAUUGAGUCUAGUUCAGAGGAUAAAAGAGGCCAAUUUCUGAGUGGAAAGCAAAGGAAACUAGUGUAAUCCCUUUUGCCCACCAAAGGAAUUGGAUGGUUGUAGUCUCUCUAAGAGUUGGAGAAGAAAGUAGAAAAAAAUGUUGAAGCCCAUGAACUUGCAGAAUUUCUAAGCAACGAUGCUCACGUUUUAAACCAAAUGGUGAGAUUGACAUUGGUAAUGGGAAACUGCAGAAAUCUGCUUAUAGAAAAGGUUAUGAAAACCACUACUUAUACUGUGCUUCAGCAAGUGAUAUCUAGCAGGGCGAUCUGGAGCAUUUCAAGAGACAUUGGAUCAGGGGAGAGCCAGCCUCGCCAAUAGUUUCAACUAUUUUUUCUACUUUAUUCUUCAACUCUGACACCCACUUUUUGGAAACAUGCACUUCAGUUCAGCUCCAAAUGAUCAUGACCGCAACCAUCCAUAUCCUUUGGUGGUCAUGGUAUGACACGAGUUUCCUUUGCUUUCCACUCUGAAAUUGGCCUCUUUUUAUUCUCUGAACUAGACUCAAUGGAUGAACUCAUAGAACUUUUCUGAUCUGAAGGCAAGGGGAGAGGUUUCCCUCCAUGCUAGUAAGAUUUUCCCCGGUCAAAAUAUUGCACACCAAUUGAAAGCGUUGGAAGUUGUAUUUAGCUCCUUUAUUUAAAGGAUUAGAUUGAUUGCUGAAAAUGAGGAGCAGAUUGAUUUUUGUAAAUUAGGAGAAUAUUAUAUGGUUUUUUUAUUUUAUUUUAUUCUAUUUUUAUUUAGACUUCCCUCUUUCCUACAAGAUGUAAACAUAUUAAGAUGAAAUAUACACAUAAUUUUUCUCUUUAAAUAUCGACAUGGCAUCUGGGAUUUGAGCAGAAAAUGGAAGAGGGAUUUUUGAUCGUCGCCUGAGUGCCCAGGUAGAUCAAACGAUGAAAGAGUGCUCAGAAGCUGUAUAUUAGACAAUACAGGUAACUUUGGAUUAGCUUUCAUCACUUCUAGUCAUCUUGGAUUAUAGAUUUGGGUUAGCCUUCAUCACUACUCAUCCUAUGACACAUGAAUCUAGUUUUUUUCCUUCUUAUAGCACUCAUCAUAGUACAAUGAGUGUUAAUACUGCAAAUGGGUCUGCUUUUAUUGUGUUUAGGGAAGGUUCCUUUCCUCUUAACUUCUUCUGUCUUUCUCUACUGUCUUGUAUGUUCCAUGUUUAACUGGUAACCUAUAGUUCAUUAGUCAGAUUACUAAUUCUGACUUCUUCUAUGUCUUUCUCUACUGUCUUGUAUGUUUAUAGUUCAUUAGUCAGAUUACUAAGGCUCUUAAAUGUUCAAAACAUUCUUUGAUUCUCAUUGUGUCUUUCAAGUUUUUCUUAGGGGAGCAAAGAUUGGUCUUUGUAGAGAAAGAGGUGGUUACCAUUUGGAUAUGAAUUGGGUUUCGGGAUGGAAAAACAAAUUAAGUAGUGGGCAGGUCUACAUCAGAAGAGCAUUUUUUUGGUUAUGGCACAAAAGAUUAGGACAGCC